GCGAACCACGGACCCAACGGGAACGGAGCGGUGAGUGAGAACGGCAUCAGCUUCACCCUCACAAACAGCUUGAACAGCUUCACCUGGUCCUGAAUCUCCGAAAAGAAGCAGAUGCACAGAAACUGCACCGCAGCAUCCCGCGCGGCCCAACGGAGGAAGACAGACCCGGUGAGGCGGCGGAAACCGAGGCGGGCGCCAGAACUGAUUGUUGAUAAGGACGAUACAGGGGAGUGGAGAAGGGAGCGGGUGACGGAGAGGAAGACUAUGCCGAGGGCGGCAGUGUAGGAGAGGAUGAAUGCGAUGAUCGCGAGGGUGUGGGUGG
rnacentral:misc_RNA from 1 species